CCUACGGGGGGCUGCAGUGGGGAAUAUUGCACAAUGGGGGAAACCCUGAUGCAGCGACGCCGCGUGAGUGAAGAAGUAUUUCGGUAUGUAAAGCUCUAUCAGCAGGGAAGAAAAUGACGGUACCUGAUUAAGAAGCCCCUGCUAAAUACGUGCCAGCAGCCGCGGUAAUACGUAGGGGGCAAGCGUUAUCCGGAUUUACUGGGUGGAAAGGUGGCGUAGACGGCAGCACAAGUCUGGAGGGAAAUGCCCGGGCUUAACCCCGGAACUGCUUUGGAAACUGUGCAGCUAGAGUGCAGGAGAGGUAAGUGGAAUUCCAAGUGUAGCGGUGAAAUGCGUAGAUAUAAGGAGGAACACCAGUGGCGAAGGCGGCUUACUGGACUGUAACUGACGUUGAGGCUCGAAAGCGUGGGGAGCAAACAGGAUUAGAUACCCGGGUAGUC
rnacentral:rRNA from 1 species